rnacentral:rRNA from 1 species
GUUUAUUUGAUAGUACCUUACUACUUGGAUAACCGUGGUAAUUCUAGAGCUAAUACAUGCUAAAAACCCCAACUUCGGGAGGGGUGUAUUUAUUAGAUAAAAAACCAAUGCCCUUCGGGGCUCUUUGGUGAUUCAUGAUAACUUCUCAGAUCGCAUGGCCUUGCGCCGGCGACGGUUCAUUCAAAUUUCUGCCCUAUCAACUUUCGAUGGUAAGGUAUUGGCUUACCAUGGUUUCAACGGGUAACGGGGAAUUAGGGUUCGAUUCCGGAGAGGGAGCCUGAGAAACGGCUACCACAUCCAAGGAAGGCAGCAGGCGCGCAAAUUACCCAAUCCCGACACGGGGAGGUAGUGACAAUAAAUACUGAUACAGGGCUCUUUUGGGUCUUGUAAUUGGAAUGAGUACAAUUUAAACCUCUUAACGAGGAACAAUUGGAGGGCAAGUCUGGUGCCAGCAGCCGCGGUAAUUCCAGCUCCAAUAGCGUAUAUUAAAGUUGUUGCAGUUAAAAAGCUCGUAGUUGAACCUUUGGCCUGGCUGGCAGGUCCGCCUCACCGCGUGCACUUGACCGGCCGGGCCUUCUUUUCUGGAGAACCGCAUGCCCUUCACUGGGUGUGUUGGGGACCAGGACUUUUACUUUGAAAAAAUUAGAGUGUUCAAAGCAGGCCUUUGCUCGAAUACGUUAGCAUGGAAUAAUAGAAUAGGACGUGCGGUCCUAUUUUGUUGGUUUCUAGGACCGCCGUAAUGAUUAAUAGGGACAGUCGGGGGCAUCAGUAUUCAAUUGUCAGAGGUGAAAUUCUUGGAUUUAUUGAAGACUAACUACUGCGAAAGCAUUUGCCAAGGAUGUUUUCAUUAAUCAGUGAACGAAAGUUAGGGGAUCGAAGACGAUCAGAUACCGUCGUAGUCUUAACCAUAAACUAUGCCGACUAGGGAUCGGGCGGUGUUUCUAUUUUGACUCGCUCGGCACCUUACGAGAAAUCAAAGUG